rnacentral:rRNA from 1 species
AGAGUUUGAUCCUGGCUCAGAUUGAACGCUGGCGGCAUGCUUUACACAUGCAAGUCGAACGGCAGCACGGGGGCAACCCUGGUGGCGAGUGGCGAACGGGUGAGGAAUGCACCGGAACGUAUCUUCAAGUGGGGGAUAACGCAUCGAAAGGUGUGCUAAUACCGCAUAAUCUCUGAGGAGAAAAGCAGGGGAUCGCAAGACCUUGCGCUUUUGGAGCGGCCGAUGCCUGAUUAGCUUGUUGGUGAGGUAAAAGCUCACCAAGGCUCCGAUCAGUAGCUGGUCUGAGAGGACGACCAGCCACACUGGGACUGAGACACGGCCCAGACUCCUACGGGAGGCAGCAGUGGGGAAUUUUGGACAGUGGGGGCAACCCUGAUCCAGCCAUGCCGCGUGAGUGAAGAAGGCCUUCGGGUUGUAAAGCUCUUUCAGCCGGAACGAAACGGUCACGGUCAAUACCCGUGACUACUGACGGUACCGGAAGAAGAAGCACCGGCUAACUACGUGCCAGCAGCCGCGGUAAUACGUAGGGUGCGAGCGUUAAUCGGAAUUACUGGGCGUAAAGCGUGCGCAGGCGGUUUUGUAAGUCAGAUGUGAAAUCCCCGGGCUUAACCUGGGAACUGCGGUUGAAACUGCAAGGCUAGAGUGUGGCAGAGGGGGGUGGAAUUCCGCGUGUAGCAGUGAAAUGCGUAGAGAUGUGGA